GGAAGUAAAAGUCGUAACAAGGUUUCCGUAGGUGAACCUGCGGAAGGAUCAUUAUUGAAGUAAACUUGAUGAGUUGUUGCUGGUUCUCUAGGGAGCAAGUGCACACUUGUCAGUUUUAUAUCUUCACCUGUGCACAUUUUGUAGACUUUGGAUAUCUCUCUGAUUGCUUUCUUUUAGCACUUAGGAUUAAGGAUUGACUUUUGUCUCUUCUUACAUUUCCAGGUCUAUGUUUCUUCAGAUACCCUAAUGUAUGUUUAAAGAAUGUAAUUAAUAGGCCUUUGUGCCUAUAAGUCUUUACAACUUUCAGCAACGGAUCUCUUGGCUCUCGCAUCGAUGAAGAACGCAGCGAAAUGCGAUAAGUAAUGUGAAUUGCAGAAUUCAGUGAAUCAUCGAAUCUUUGAACGCACCUUGCGCUCCUUGGUAUUCCGAGGAGCAUGCCUGUUUGAGUGUCAUUAAUAUAUCAACCUCUUUGGUUGGAUGUGGGUUUGCUGGUCUUUUGAGAUCAGCUUCCCUUAAAUGUAUUAGCAGACAAUGUUUUUGCGAAAUGCUCAUUGGUGUGAUAAUUAUCUACGCUAUUGACGUCAAGCAAGUUCUGCUUCUAACUGUCUAUUGAUUUGGACAAAUUUAUUAAUGUGACCUCAAAUCAGGUAGGACUACCCGCUGAACUUAAGCAUAUCAAUAAGCGGAGGAAAAGAAACUAACAAGGAUUCCCCUAGUAACUGCGAGUGAAGCGGGAAAAGCUCAAAUUUAAAAUCUGGCAGUCUUUGGCUGUCCGAGUUGUAAUCUAGAGAAGCAUUAUCCGUGCUGGACCGUGUAUAAGUCUCCUGGAAUGGAGCGUCAUAGAGGGUGAGAAUCCCGUCUUUGACACGGACUACCAGGGCUUUGUGAUGUGCUCUCAAAGAGUCGAGUUGUUUGGGAAUGCAGCUCAAAAUGGGUGGUAAAUUCCAUCUAAAGCUAAAUAUUGGCGAGAGACCGAUAGCGAACAAGUACCGUGAGGGAAAGAUGAAAAGAACUUUGGAAAGAGAGUUAAACAGUACGUGAAAUUGCUGAAAGGGAAACGCUUAAAGUCAGUCGCGUUGUCCAGGAUCAACUCUUGCUUUUGCUUGGUGUACUUUCUGGUUAACGGGUCAGCAUCAAUUUUGACCAUUGGAAAAAGAUUAAGGGAAUGUGGCAUCUUUAGAUGUGUUUAUAGCCCUUGGUUGCAUACAUUGGUUGGGAUUGAGGAACUCAGCACGCCGCAAGGCCGAGUUUUUAACUAC
rnacentral:rRNA from 1 species